GACGAACGCUGGCGGCGUGCUUAACACAUGCAAGUCGAACGGAAAGGCCCUGCUUUUGUGGGGUGCUCGAGUGGCGAACGGGUGAGUAACACGUGAGUAACCUGCCCUUGGCUUUGGGAUAACUUCAGGAAACUGGGGCUAAUACCGGAUAGGAGCUCCUGCUGCAUGGUGGGGGUUGGAAAGUUUCGGCGGUUGGGGAUGGACUCGCGGCUUAUCAACUUGUUGGUGGGGUAGUGGCUUACCAAGGCUUUGACGGGUAGCCGGCCUGAGAGGGUGACCGGCCACAUUGGGACUGAGAUACGGCCCAGACUCCUACGGGAGGCAGCAGUGGGGAAUAUUGCACAAUGGGCGGAAGCCUGAUGCAGCAACGCCGCGUGCGGGAUGACGGCCUUCGGGCUGUAAACCGCUUUCGCCUGUGACGAAGCGUGAGUGACGGUAAUGGGUAAAGAAGCACCGGCUAACUACGUG
rnacentral:rRNA from 1 species